rnacentral:rRNA from 1 species
UACGGAGGGUGCGAGCGUUGUCCGGAAUCACUGGGCGUAAAGGCGCGUAGGCGGUCUGGUAAGCGUGUGGUGAAAGCUCGGGGCUCAACCCCGAGUCGGCCGUGCGAACUGCUGGACUGGAGCAUGUCAGAGGCAGGCGGAAUUCCGGGUGUAGCGGUGGAAUGCGUAGAGAUCCGGAAGAACACCGGUGGCGAAGGCGGCCUGCUGGGACAUGGCUGACGCUGAGGCGCGACAGCGUGGGGAGCAA